GCGCAGCGCUGUGGUCCUAGUGCCACUCAGAUGAAGUAGAGUCCGGGCCAUCCCGGCUCACCAGUCAUCUCCCGAGCUUGCAAAACAUGUUCACGUUAUCUGACGAAGAAAACUUCUCCAGCAGUGGCCCUCCGCCUUUAGCUUGCAUUAGAAUCUCGCGAAGGACUUGUUAAAAGGGUACUGAAGAGCAUCACCAGCAAAACUGCCAAUUCAGUAAUUCUAACUCCGCGCUGAAAAUGUAUGUUUCUAACAAGGGAGAUCAUCCAUUAAUGCAAAGGACCCUUCUGAAAAAAAGGUAAUAGGCUCUUUUUCUAGGAGGAUUUUGAUAGGAGAAAGUUGUGAAAAUGAAGGGAAACCUCACCAAAAUGAAGUUGGGAGGCCAGAAGAGGGAGCUCUCAUGCAGAUCCAAACCACCUGGAGCCCUCAACCACCAGACUAAGUGGAGCCUAAGGAUUGAUGAUACUGACCCUUGUGACUUCACUUAAUUAGAAUAAAGGAAACUUCAUUUAAAAUGGAGUUAAGAGACCAGAAUGGGGAGCCCUCAAGCAUGACCACUUGUCUUCAGUUACAGACUCCAACAGGAAGCAUCAAUUACAGACCUCAACAGGAAGAUUUCUUCUUGCCCAGCAACAAGCUCAGCCAAUGGGAAAAGCUGGGCCACCCUGACUUUUGUUCCACUUUUGUUCAAAACCACCCCUCCCAACUUCCUCUUCUCUUUAUAGUAACUUUCCUCUCCUUUGCUAAUUGGUCUUGCCUAUGGUUUUUGCUAUAGCUUGCUUGUCUCUAAUUGCAAUCUUUCUGCUAUCGCUGAAUAAACCUAUUCUGCUGGUAAAA